CUCAUAUUUGGUUCUCUCCCUCUUCUCUCUAUUCUCUCUUUUUCUUGAAACCCUAAAUCUGAAACCUUUUUCAAACUCGUCACCGCCACCGGAUCUGCAACAAUCACCUCGCCGACAUCCGAAUUUAAUAGUUAUUCUACAAAGCCGAGCUGUUGGAGAACUUUAUUUUAGAUUCUUUUCAAGCGCUCAUGAUUGCUUCUGGUUCUUACACCAUGGUUCUAGGAUAAGUUCUGCAGCAUUAAUCGAUAGGACAUUGUCCUACGUAAACUUGAGAAGAUUUUUUUUUUCAAUUUCCCAGUUGUGACAAGGAUUUGGUGAUGUUGUGUGGCAUCCCGUUUUCGGAUGUGGUUUGUUGGCAGCUUUGUUGUGCAGGUCCGGUGCAGCAGGACCAAUUCCAAAGCUGUCUGGUUUCCUUUUGUUGGUUGUUAGCUUUGUCAAACAGUUUGUUUGACAGAGGGUAUUAAGCAUAAUAAGGCAAGAACUAUGAAGCUU